UCUGAAUCAGGUUAUCCUCUGACAGAUAAUGGAUGUAGCCGGUAUCUAAGCAUGCUCCCCAAAGCCAGCUCAAUCCCUCCAACAAGAUAAAGCCGACAAAUUACGCCACCUGGAAAAAACACAACUCUGAAGCCAAACACAGCCGGAGAGAGAGAGGGCGAGCGAGAGAGAGGUGGCAAGGAUGUAAAGAAAGAGAGAACACAGAAGAAAGAAAGUCAAAUGGGUUGGAACGACACAAGGAGGAUUGUUUCCGGAAAGAUCUGGAGCAGGUCCGCUGUGACAUAAUCACUCAAGGAGCAUUUGGUCUAACCUUCACAAACGGCGCCGUUCAUCCAUUCAGAGCCUGGCGUUUGGGUGAGAAAUAGCAGGACCGGGGUUCAGUGCGGGACCUCAUGAGGCGAUGAAGCAAUACGUUUCCAUCUUUCUGAAGGUCACCUGACCUACAUGUGUGCCGGUUCGUACAGCUUUAUCAGUGUCACUCCUUAAGUAAAUGCACAUAUCUUAGUCCUAAUAACAAAUAUUCCAACAUUAUCAGGGAUGUGUUUAAAGGCAUGAAAUCAAAACUGACUUUACUUGGUUUGCUAAUUAUGUUCGUGCCGUUUACUCUGUCUCUAAAUGGUUUUGAUUUGAAUCGUUGUACACAUACACAUGCGGAUGCCGUUUCAUGUUGUCUUCAUGCUUCUGAACAUUUUACGGUAUUGCCGAGAUAUUCUUGAAAUAGUGAUAAAUAAUAUAGGAGAGCACUCACACGUCGGUUCACAUGAGUGCUACAGAUGCAGCUGACCUAGAAAGACAGAAAAAACACAGGACAAAAAAAGACAAAGGGUCACUUUAUGCUUUAUCUUCACCAUGUUGAAAGUCAUAAGACCAUAUCCUUUACUUGAACCAAUACAUAAAUAAUAAUACGCAAGCUAAAUCUUCCAUCCACUUAGACUGACUGAUUGACUAAUGCUUCUUUCCAGCCCUCUAGAAAUCAUAAUUACACCAUGAUGUGUGUUCGAAUGAUUUUUGCAUGCUUUUACUCGAUUAUGUACUUCUCAAGGCAUGCAGGACACAUUUUAGCUCUAAUCUAACAUCAUGAAGAGCAAAGGAUGUGCAUUAGUUGAGUAAUUGAUGUAUUUUGUCAUUCUUGGUGUCACAGAGAAUGAUGGGAAAUGUAGUUUCCACAUUAAUGAUCAGCUAAAUUGGUGUUUUCUGGCAAUAUUACUCAAAAUGUGUACUGCCAACAUUCUUUUAUGAUCAAUAUCAAUUGUCUUUCAUCAUAAAUCGGUAACUGACAUGCCUCUGACGAUCAUUCCCAUCACGAUCGUGAUGUUUUGAAGCAUUGGCACUGUCUGCAGAUUGUGUUUUAGUACGGUUUCCACAAAAAUAUGACUGUUUUCAACAUUGAUGGUAAUC